GUGCUCACUUCGCCAGCACAUAUAAUAAAAUUGAAAUGAUACAGAGAUUAGCAUGGCCCCAAGAAAGAAUGACGUUUAAAUUCAUGCAGUGUUCCAUAUUCUC
ensembl:snRNA U6 U6 spliceosomal RNA